AGUGAACGCUGGCGGUAGGCCUAACACAUGCAAGUCGAACGGCAGCACAUUAAGAGCUUGCUCUUACGGGUGGCGAGUGGCGGACGGGUGAGGAAUACAUCGGAAUCUACUUUUUCGUGGGGGAUAACGUAGGGAAACUUACGCUAAUACCGCAUACGACCUACGGGUGAAAGCAGGGGAUCUUCGUACCUUGCGCGAUUGGAUGAGCCGAUGUCGGAUUAGCUAGUUGGCGGGGUAAAGGCCCACCAAGGCGACGAUCCGUAGCUGGUCUGAGAGGAUGAUCAGCCACACUGGAACUGGGACACGGUCCAGACUCCUACGGGAGGCAGCAGUGGGGAAUAUUGGACAAUGGGCGCAAGCCUGAUCCAGCCAUACCGCGUGGGUGAAGAAGGCCUUCGGGUUGUAAAGCCCUUUUGUUGGGAAAGAAAAGCAGCAGGUUAAUACCCCGCUGUUCUGACGGUACCCAAAGAAUAAGCACCGGCUAACUUCGUG
rnacentral:rRNA from 1 species